CCGGGACUUUAUCUCCGUGGCCAUUCCAUACCUAGAUGGUUGCGGUAAACGACUCCCGAAUAUCAACUCGGCAUCUGCAGAAGGUCCAGCUGGCAAGUACUCACUAGCUUGACCUUUUGAUGAUGCUGCACAUUC
rnacentral:snoRNA from 1 species